UUCGCUCUGGAAGCUCACCGGCAACCUAGUUCUGUCUUAAGAUUUUUAAAAAUGUACUGUAAACUUAUUUCUCUGCAGUUGACAAAAAAAAAAGGAGACCUUAGUGUAGCCACCUUUCUGUGAAAAUCUUAAGGAAACCAAACACCUUUUUAGACUUUUUACAAUCGUUAAACCAAAACAAAAAUUUUACAAACUGUAACAAGUGUUAAGUGCCUACCAGGUUCCAAGAUUGCAAACCUAAGUGAAUAGGAAAAUAUUGGACCACAGAGUGAAGUAAUGAGAAGAAACUAAUUCUGUAGAUAAGAUGAUGCCUCGAUUUUAGGUAAAGGUACCAACCAGCUGGCGAGACACAGGAGAAAACUUUCUGACUGACUCGGAAAUGGAAGUCUGAGAGUUAACUUUAUCAGGGUUAACUUUACAUGUCAAGAUCAACUCAUGAAUGGCACUGAGCUAUUGACGUUAAAAGCAGUGAAGGCCAACCAGCUGAGUAAUAACCAUUGCCGUGGAGACCAGAGGACCUGGGAACACUGUGCUGAUCUCAGGAUCCUUGCUAAUCCCUUUUUCUGUACAGCCCAGAUGCCACCUUGGGGAGGAGGUGGGGGAAAAAAAAUCAAGUCACUAGGAUACGGAAUGAUGGCGUGAAGACCAGAAGGUCAUCUGAGAAGCUUGUUUAUCAUACCCACUAAGUAAUCCAAUCUGCCUUCACAUUCCUUCUCUUUAAAAUGAGGAUGAA